rnacentral:lncRNA from 1 species
CAGUCUCACCUCCACCAGAAGCCUUCUCCAGGGGGAUAUCAAGCCCAGUUGCUGGCCCGGCACAGCCCCCUCCGUGGCCCCAGCCUGCUCCAUGGUCGCAACCAGCCUUCUAUGAUUCUUCUGAGCAAAUAGCUUCCCGCGAUGAGAGGAUCGCAGUGCCGGCCAAAAGAACAGGAAUACUGCAGGAAGCCAAAAGACGAGGCACAACAAAACCCAUGUUUACUUUCAAAGAAACCAAAGUGAGCCCCAACCCCGAACUCCUGUCCCUUCUUCAAAAUGCAGAAGGCAAGCGAGGCACUGG